rnacentral:rRNA from 1 species
ACAGCAGUAGCCGCGGGAAUACAGAGGGUGCGAGCGUUAAUCGGAUUUACUGGGCGUAAAGCGUGCGUAGGCGGCUUUUUAAGUCGGAUGUGAAAUCCCUGAGCUUAACUUAGGAAUUGCAUUCGAUACUGGGAAGCUAGAGUAUGGGAGAGGAUGGUAGAAUUCCAGGUGUAGCGGUGAAAUGCGUAGAGAUCUGGAGGAAUACCGAUGGCGAAGGCAGCCAUCUGGCCUAAUACUGACGCUGAGGUACGAAAGCAUGGGGAGCAAACAGGAUUAGAUACCCCUGUAGUCCCUGUCUCUUAACC